rnacentral:misc_RNA from 1 species
AGGAAAUGUCAUCAACCCUGAUGAUGUCGUUUUGGAGUAUGGUGCAGAUUCUCUACGCUUAUAUGAAAUGUUUAUGGGUCCAUUAAGAGACUCGAAAACAUGGAAUACAAGUGGUAUUGAUGGUGUUCACCGUUUCCUAGCAAGAUCUUGGAGAUUGGUUGUUGGUUCAGCCUCACCCACUGGUUCAUAUCUGGAUGGAACUGUUACAGUUGAUGAGAAACCUUCAAUUGAACAACUUCGUUCUUUACACAGAUGCAUUGAUAAGGUAACUGAAGAAAUUGAAGG